AAUGAUUCCACCAAAAUAGAGAACAAUUGUAGAAAAUCUAUGUGUGUUAACGAUGCCUGUAACUCUACAAGUUAAAGGGUAAGUUCUGUAAAAGUAUUAUUGGGCAAGUGAUUCUUUAUCAUAGGUUUUCGAGUUAAGAACUAGUGACUUAUGCAAUAGCUUAUAAGUAAAGAUAGUACUAAUUAGGUAAAAGUUAGGGGAAUGGUGACUUAGGUCGUCAAGGCACGUGUUAGACCC
rnacentral:lncRNA from 1 species